rnacentral:lncRNA from 1 species
CUCUAUUUGGGUGGGCCUAGACUUACUUAGGCUGCUCAAAAUAAUAAAACUAGGCGUACAUGCAAAACAAUAAGACUAUACAUGAAGCCAAUGAAUGGCUCAAGUUAGCCUCCGCACAUAAGCAAUAAAUGCACACGGGCAGAUUCUUACAUCAGGCAGUAGACAAUUUCAAUAUUGAGAUGAAUUAGAGUCAUUAAAUCCUAUAGACAAUGGAUUCUAUGUGACUUUGAUUUCAAGCGUACAGGCGGUGUUGUCUUGGAACAAUGAAUUUGCAGAUUAUAGGUAUCAAAAAUCCUAUAGGCAUGAUCUCUAAAUUAUUUCUGCAAUGAGGCAAUAAAACCAUUUAAAAGCUUAAAGUUACCCACGUUUGAUCUUAUUGGCACUCUCUAUGCGAGUAAUAGUAUCUUAUAGGCAGGAUCUAUAAGAGUUGGCAAUUGAAACUGGUUCUAUAAAACUCCAUCCCUAUAGGCAUGUUUUCUAGGAAAGCAGUGUGAUGGAAAUAGCAAUAAUAGUAGAUAAUUAAUUAAUUAAGGUCCUAUUGACAUGAUAUCUAGAUGAAUAUUAAUAGGAACAUGUCUUUAUCACUUAAUGUGAUCCUAUAGGCAUGAUAUCUAACGCAUGGAAAUAAAGCAAAUUUAGCAACUAAUUAUUGAUGUUGUAAUAUAAUAGAUAGUUAAUAACAUAUAUGAGUAGAGCAUGGGAACUAGUGAAAUAGUCAGGUCCUACACGCAUGUUAUCUAACAAACACAUAGAAAUAGAGUAUGUUGACCAAAUGAAACACUUAGGUCCUAUAUGCAUGUUUCUACCUUUUCAUGCAAGCGUAAGAAUAUGCCUAUUUCCCCAAUUUCACUAACACCCCAAUUGUUUAUUUACAAAAUAUUACAGGCCUAGAAUAUAAAUAUUACACAUGAAAGAAACUAUUGGCCCAAGAGCAGGCCUAAAAAUGAAGGUAAUACAGCGUUGCAAGGGCCUUCAACAAGCUCAUUUCCCAAAAUAACAUGCCUAGAUCCAAAUGCCUCUCAAACAGGAGACUACGCUCAUUCGCACAGCCCGAUGUCAUACAUGAACUCAUGCCAGGCCAAACGGUUAGAAAUUGACACACAACCCAAAUAAAUUAUCGAAUCACACAAAAGUCAAUUAAACAACUCUUAAAGUAUCACCUCAUAGAGACACGAUUACAUAACAUUUAGCAGUAUUCACAUAAAACAUAUUGGUAUUUCAGAAGCAAGAGAAACAUGAGUGAUUAAACAAAGAACAUUAGAAUUAAUAGGAUCUAACUCCACCAUGGUAAAUUUGACAUGACAAACUAACAACAUAGAUUUAAUCAUGGAGGUUAGACAUAACAUUAAGAGAAUUGCGGAGACAUUUCACUUAGAGUAAGGGGUAGGCACGCUAGGCACAACAAAAUGAUCAUAAUAAGCUUUUCAGAACGAAUUUAUAGUGCAAACUAAGAGUCUAAGUCAUAGCGGUCUGAUAGAGUUGCAGUUAGAGGAUGGGGAUCACAUAAAGCAGGAAAAUAUGCACGGUCCAUAACAGCCAAUAAGAAUCCUAAUCAUGAUAAGUAUAACACAAAGGUUCUCAAAUUCAAAUACGUCACAGUGGGAAGACAUGUCAACUUAAGGUCAAGUAGAGCAUACACAUUUCAGAACCAAAGCCAAUCACUAUACAUGAUCCGGAAUACCAAAUGUAGUAGGAUUCAGCUUGAAGCACAAACAAUACCAAAGAGUACAGGAUUAGCCAAAUACAUCAAUAAGUUUGAUUAAUGCAUCGUGGAAAUAUAUUUGAUUCAUGUGAACAGGUAACAAUAGGGUUCACAUAAAGGACUUAAGGAAAAUUCUGGGAAGGAACUAGUUCCCUAGGAGUUCAAGCACAAAAGCAAGGAAGGGCAUAACAAAAAACUCAUAACAAAUAGCUAAUAAAUGAAUUCGAGCAUACUUAAAUGGGCAUAACAAUCAGAAAGUCUUCCAAAUUGAAUACACUAAAUGAACAUAUAAGAACUUAUACAGAUUAUAAUAAGGAUUUAUAGUAGGAUUUCAAAAAAAGUCGACACAGUGUCAUAUUUGUUCGAAUAACAUGAGUAUACGAAGCACUACAAACAAGAAAAAGGAAAUAGAAUUACAGAGUCAGGACACUCACUUGUUUGCAGAUUCAACAAAUCAAAAUAAGAGCGAAAAGCUAAGUGUCAGCGAUAACUUGAGUUCGGUCGUCAAAGAGAACGGUCAUAAGACCUAAAUCCUAGUGCAUCAGAGUUCAUAUGAGUCUCAAAUGGACCUCGAGAACUGCUCACACUAGGGAGGUCGAAUAAUAUUGGUGGCCUUAGCUCUCAGUCGGCCAAGAGCAAUAGAUUCAGAAUAAUAUAAAGAACAAAUGAAAGUGAAAGAACAAUAAGAUCUGUCUAAAGAGGAAUUGGGGAUGGGAUUAUAUUGUGGUAGGAAUGGAACAAACAAAUAAGAGAAAUAAUCGAUCAAACAUAAAGGAAGAAAAUACCACAUGCAAUCAAUAAUGGAACAAGUAAAAGGAAAAAAGUAUAAAAUUUCAAACCCUAGUGCGACAGAAAUAAGAGAAUCGACCAAACAUCUUGGUGAAUCGGCCUCAUAUCACCUUGCCAUGAAUGUAUACAUACGAAAUAUCGUCUAGAUCUUAAAGAUUGAAGAUCAUUUUUACAUGAUUCCGGGCCUUGUACUUGCCAAAAAUAGGCAAGUACUAAGUGAUACCACAAUCGUGUAAGUAACACAAAUAUAAAGCAUAUAUGAAAGGCAAACGUAGGAGGAUUCCAUAUCAAGGUUAGAACCAGAGAGAAUUAAAAGGUGUGGCGGUUGGGUUUGUGAAGAAGAAGAGAGGAACACAGAGAAAAAAGGCGGCUGUCUUAGGAGAGUGAGGGUUAGGGUUUGGGGUUGUGAUUGGGUAAUUAAAAGAGAGAGGUUAAUCGUGGGUCAUUGAUCUCUUAAGAUCAACAACUAGGAUUCUAAAUAAGGCAGGGCGGGUUAUUGCAAACGGGCCGUGCCCGGAUUAUAAAGGAGUUAAUGAAAAUACACAAAAUUGUGAAUAAAAAUAAUUUGUAAAAUAUUUGAGUAGAUAAUAAAUAUUACGCGUGCAAAAAAAAUGAUUCAAAAUAAUAACGUAAUAUAAUAAAAAAAUAAAAGAUCAUAUUUUAACAUGAAUAGUGUAAUAGAUGUAAUUAUGCAUACCAUAUAGGCUAUUAUUGCAAAAUUAUGUAAAUGGCCUAAAAUACAAAUAUAAUCAUAAAUGGAGUAAAAAAUAUGUAUGUGGAUGAAAAUAAUAUUUUUUUAUGAUUAUGUCAUCAUAAAAUAAUUUAAGGAAUAACUAAUAAAAAUUCAAGUAAUAUAAAUGCAAGAAAAAUAAUUUUAAAGCUUUGAAAUUAUGGAAAAUUAAAAAAAAAUACUUAUAUGACUCUUGUAGACUAAUUAAUGAUACAAAAUAGUUUUGAAAGUAAAUAUACUAUUUGAAACAAUAUGAGGGUAAAAUUGGGUAUCAACAGAGGUCCCUAGCUCGAGUUAUUACUUUGUUGAAAAUUAAAAGUUUAAAGGUUUAAUGAUUUUAAUAAUUCACUGAUUUUUGAUAUUAUUUAUAUCGGGUCCGUAUUUUAGUUUUGAAGUCCGGUACAUGUUCAUUAUUAUAUUUAUGACUUGUCUGUGAAAUUUAGUGACAAACAGAGUUGAUUUGACUUGAUUCGGACGUCCGCUUGUAAAAAUAAAUAUUACAAAAUUUUCUUGAAAAUCUCAUUCGGUUUGGUGUUCAAUUUUUAGUUGAAGGUGCUAUUUUAACAGUUUGAUCGUGCAAGCAAGUUUGUAUGAUAUUUUAAGACUUGUGUGCAUGUUUGAUUUGGAGCCCCAAGGGCUCAGGUAAGUUUCGGAUAUGCUACAGAGUGGAUUGAACUUAAAAAAACAUAGCUAGUGCAUUAGAUCUGCAAAUCUUGCAUUUGCGAGGUCUGGCUCGCAAAUACGAUCCUCGCAUUUGCGAAGGAACCAUCGCAUUUGCGAGCAGUAGGCUGGGUGGAACUUUUAGCAUUUGCAAAACCUGGGGUCGCAAUUGUGAUCCCCUCGGGUUUUCAUUUGUGAAUGAUUGUCCGCAUUUGCGAUGGCAGCAUAAAUAAUGAGGCUUCGCAAUUGCGAAGUAUUUCUCUCAUUUUUGGGUAGCUGCGUAAAACUUGAGUUAGACGGAAUUUUUUUCACAUUCCUAAAAUAUUCAAAACUUAGAACUCUAGAGGUGAUUUUUCCAAGACUUUUUUUUCCCCCAAAUCAUUGGUAAGUGAUUCUAACCCAUUUUCUUUCAAUCUUUCAAUACAUUUACUAAGAUUUCAACUUAAAAUCUAGUAUUUUCAUGGUAAAAAUUGGGGGUUUGGGCAGAUUAGGGAUUUUUUUUGAAUUUGGGGAUUUAGUCUUCAAAUUGAGGUCGGAUUCCAAAACCAAUUGUAUAUCCUGACUCAGGGGUAAAUGUGUCCGAAUUUCCAGUUUUGACCAAGCUGGUCCGAGAGUUGACUUUUUUGACUUUUCCAAUAGUGAUCUAAAUUGAAUUUGUUGCAAUCAUGGGUGAUUUUUAAGGCUUAUUUUUAAUCGUUUGGUUGGUGAUUUUCUAGUUAUUGUUUGUUCACAUGCUUGUUUGAAAGGCAAAGUUUUGGUUGAACUUUGAAUGGCCUUUGGAGCGAGGUAAGUGUUGUCUCUAACCUUGACUUAAAGGAAUUAGGAACCCAUGGAUUAUGUGCUAUGUGAUCUCAUGUUUGCGGUAUAUAUGCGAGAUGACGAGUGAUUAUACACUGUCGAAUUAUCUGUUUUCCCUGAUUUUUGCUUUUUCUUAAUUGUUUCCUUUCCCAUCAUAACUGUUAUAUGCUCUAGGUGCUUUCCAUUCUUAACUUCAAUCUGUUAAUCAAUACCUUCUCAUGUUAAUGAUGUUAGCUAUUUUUACAGUUUCAUGAUUCCCUACUAUCUGUUUAAAUUGACUUACUUGCACUUUCUAAUUGCUAAUUACUGAUUGGUCUCACUGUGUAGUAUUACUUGUGUCGAUUCGUAUGUCGUACAAGAUUUCCCUUUUGGUUCAGUUUGGUAUUUAUUGAUCGUAAAGGAAUUCAAGGUUUGAACUAUUAAUUUGACUGUGCACUUUAAGUCUUUGGUACUGAUAUGGUGGGAUCAGGCUGCACGCCGCAGUAGGUGUAAUAAGGGUAGAUUGGUAUGGUGGAAUAAGGGUGAAUUCAUACUGUAUGGUGGGAUCGGGUUGCACGACGCAACCUGUGUAACAAGAGUGGAUUGUUAUGGUGAAAUAAGGGUGAAUUAUGAUACUGAUAUCGUUAUAUGGUAGGAUCAGGUUGUGCGAUGCAACAUAUCUAUAUAUGUUAUCUAUGUUGUUGAUGUUGUUACGGUGAAUAAGGGAAGAUCCUAUGUUGUACGUUGGGAUCAAUUUGUGUUCUGCAAUGACCUAUGUGUUUCUAUUUCUUGCGUUGUGUUGGCUUCUCAUAUUUUCACUUGAAAUACUAAGGAUUCAUAAUUCGGAAUAACACUUAUUUAUUUCUUGAGGCUAUAGUUAUUAUUCUCAAUUGACUAUUUUAUCAUGUUCCAUAUUUUUAUUUUUUGCAUUAUUAUAUAUUGUGAACAGGUUGUAGUGCAGCUGACCCACCUUAGCCUCGUCACUACUUCGUCGAGGUUAGGCUCGACACUUAUAGAGUACAUAGGGCCGAUUGUACUCAUACUACACUUUACGCUUUUUAUGCAAAUUUUAGAGCCGGUCCCAAAAGUGGCUAUUAGUGAGCUUAGAUUGGAUAGCCUAAGGAGACUUGAGGUACAAUUGCUCAGCGCCCGCAGCUCCUAGAGUCCCUUUCUUUCUUUUACUUAGUUGUGUAUCUUCUUUUCAGACAACUUUAUAAUAUUUCAGACCCUCGUAUGUACUUUUAUUGUAGCUCAUGCACUUUUGACACCGGGUUUAGGGAUGUAUUAAACGUUUGGCUUUUUUAGCUUCCACACUAUUUACUUUGGAUUAUUACAGUUAAAUCAAUUCUUCUUCAUUAUGAAAUUUUAAACUGUUAAACAUGUAAAUUGUUCUAACCUUGAUUAACAAGUGAAAUGCUAGAUGCCAUCACGGUCUCGAAUGUGGGAAUUCCGAGUCACGACAAUUCCUUUCUUCCUUUAUUAUUUCUUCCAUUUUCGGUAUGAGCAUAUCCUGAAUUCUUGAUUUAUAGGCCAAUUGUCUUACUUUCGAGGGCCUUCAAAUAUUGAUUCGUGAGAAGGAAGAACUUACUUCCGAGCGGGAUCAACUUUUGGCAGAACAAGAUCAAGUUGUUAUUCACCUCUCGGAAUCGGAAGCCAAAGUUGCUGAGGCUUUUGUAUUGGACACUCGUUUGCAGCAAAGGGAGCCAAAAAUGGUAAACCUUAGCCAGGAAAUUAGCCCGAUGGUGGUUAAAUUUGUCGAAGCUAGGGCCAAAUGGGUAGAAGUCUAUAACACCAUUCUUGUUGCAACCGAAUUCAAGGCUGCCCCCGAUGAAUGAGUGACUAACUUAGAGGUCAUCUUGAACUCCAAAAUUGAAGCGCUUGCUGCUACGGGGCGAAACAUGCCCAAUGGAAGGGAAGUACAAAAAACUAUCAAGCAUAAUAGGCUCUUUAGUUCAACUGUAUAUGACCUUGAUGUUAUCCUCAAAUCUAUUAGGUCUGCCCAGGAAAGCCUUUCCGCCGAGGUAACCCAACUCAAAGAAGAACUUAAGUGCCAAGAGGCUUCUCUCGUUAUUGAAAAAACUUACGAUAUGUACAGCAUGAGGAGAAAAACCUUGGAAGAGGCCAAAGAUGGUAUCAUUGAUUUUGAUGUUGAAAUUGCUAAGGCUUAUGAGCUUGAGUUAGCUGCUAAAAAUGGACUCCCAGCACAACAUCAGAUUGUUGAGCCAUCAUUAGAUCCAUUUAGUUCUCCUGGGGACGCGGGAGCUUCUCUUCUU